ncrna:Fusobacterium periodonticum D10 RAGATH-18 RNA
ACUAUGGAGAGUACAAGAAACUAUGAGUAGAUACUAAGUAUUGAAAAUAUACUCGUUGAAGUAGUAA